rnacentral:misc_RNA from 1 species
CAAAUAAAUGUUAGCAAGGAUGGGAAUCUCCUGCAGGCUAAGAAUUUGUUUUUCACAAUUUUGUAUAGAAUACUAAUUCUUCUCAAGUUGUGGGUUGGAAUUGUUUGUGUAGUUUUAUUUGGAGGAGCUAUGGUUGGGUAAAUGUGAUCAUCAAUUGAAUAGGUUGCUGAUGUGCUCUGAGGUAGCAAGAAUAUUCAUUGAUAUGACCUUUUUUUUUUUGUGGUUUUCUGCUCAUUUUCCAUUAGAUUAUGGCAAAAAUAAGCACUUUUUUUUAUCAUUUUGCCAAUAAGAGAUGUAUUGCCCAGCCCUUAGAUAUAUGAAUGCGAUUAAAAAUUUUAUGCCUUGUUGCGCUGGCAACAUGUUUUUGUGAUGAUGCACCUUAGAUUGAAAGGAAAAAUAAAGCUUUUUUUGACUUGGA